UACGGGGGGGGGAAGCGUUGUUCGGAAUUACUGGGCGUAAAGGGCUCGUAGGCGGCCAACUAAGUCAGACGUGAAAUUCCUCAGCUUAACUGGGGAACUGCGUCUGAUACUGGAUGGCUUGGAUUCGGGAGAGGAAUGCGGAAUUCCAGGUGUAGCGGUGAAAUGCGUAGAUAUCUGGAGGAACACCGGUGGCGAAGGCGGCAUUCUGGACCGACAUUGACGCUGAGGAGCGAAAGCCAGGGGAGCAAACGGG
rnacentral:rRNA from 1 species